GACGAACGCUGGCGGCGUGCUUAACACAUGCAAGUCGAACGGUGAAGCGCCUUCCUUUUUGGUGGGUGUGGAUGAGUGGCGAACGGGUGAGUAACACGUGAGUAACCUGCCCCCUUCUUCUGGAUAACCGCAUGAAAGUGUGGCUAAUACGGGAUAUUCUGGGUCUGUCGCAUGAUGGGUCUGGGAAAGAUAUUGUUUCGGUGGGGGAUGGGCUCGCGGCCUAUCAGCUUGUUGGUGGGGUGAUGGCCUACCAAGGCGGUGACGCGUAGCCGGCCUGAGAGGGUGGACGGUCACACUGGGACUGAGACACGGCCCAGACUCCUACGGGAGGCAGCAGUGGGGAAUAUUGCACAAUGGGCGCAAGCCUGAUGCAGCGACGCCGCGUGAGGGAUGGAGGCCUUCGGGUUGUGAACCUCUUUCGCCAGUGAAGCAGGCCUGCCUCGUUUGUGGGUGGGUUGACGGUAGCUGGAUAAGAAGCGCCGGCUAACUACGUG
rnacentral:rRNA from 1 species